rnacentral:rRNA from 1 species
UACGGAGGGGGCUAGCGUUGUUCGGAAUUACUGGGCGUAAAGCGCACGUAGGCGGCUUUGUAAGUUAGAGGUGAAAGCCCGGGGCUCAACUCCGGAAUUGCCUUUAAGACUGCAUCGCUAGAAUUGUGGAGAGGUAAGUGGAAUUCCGAGUGUAGAGGUGAAAUUCGUAGAUAUUCGGAAGAACACCAGUGGCGAAGGCGGCGACCUGGACGGACACUGACGCUGAGACGCGAAAGCGUGGGGAGCAAACAGG